rnacentral:lncRNA from 1 species
UUAGGAAUAUCUGGUAGGUGGGACUACCACGAAGCUGUGAUUUCAUUGUUGUUGUUUCUGCUGCUAUGCUUUCUAAACCCCUUAUUACACCAUGUCAAAAUAAAAAGAAGCUAGACUAAGAUGUGAUCUAUAAAUUACGAAAGUCCUAUCUAUAUCUUCAAACUUGAUCUUGUAUUCUUGUUGCCUUGUUGUCUUUUAUUCUCUCGGUGAAAUUCCUUUGUUGUCGCCUUGAAUUUUAAUCUGGGAUGUUUUCCCUUUCUCCGGGUGGAUGCCUGAAAAUUGAACUUGAAUGUAUUCCCAUGCUCUCUAGCGGGCUCCUAACUGCUAAACUUGAAUGUAUUCUUAUGCUAUCCAAGCGGGCUCCUGACUUCAAAAUAGACAAAACAAAGAAAAUUUUAUGCCCCGGUUUGGGUAUAUGGGCACAUAUGUAAGUGUAAAAUGAACCACAUUACCAAAUAUCCAUAAGAAUUUGAAAGAUAAAACUUGAAUUGUACUCCCUUGUUCUCCAAACGGGCUCCUGACUGCUGUGCUUCAAGGUAUUUCCAUGCUCUCAAGCCGGGAUCAUGAUUGCUGAACUUGAAAGUAUUCCCAUGCUCUCAGGGCGGGCUCAAGACUGUUAAACUUGAAUGUAUUCCCAUGCCCUUUAGGCGAGCUCCUAACUUCAAAAUAGACAAAUAAAUAAAUAAUUGGAAAGCUAAAACUUAUAUUGUACUCCCUUGUUCUCCAAGAGAGCUCCUGACUAUUGCGCUUGAAUAUAUUCCCAUGCUCUCCAGGCUGGCUCCUGAUUGCUGAACUUGAAAGUAUUCCCAUGCUCUCCAGGCGGGCUCCUCACUUCAAAAU